AAGCAAUCCUCCUGCCUCAGCCUCCCAAAGUGCUGGGAUUACAGGCAUGAGCCACUGUGCCCAGCCCACUCUAAUGUUUGAGAGUAUUACCAGACUGAGCCAGUUCCAACAUGUAACUAUUAUAACUGAAAAGCAAGCAUACUUUAUAUUCUCUAAAACAAAAAUGCAAGAAGCUAAAAGCGACAGUCUAAACCACAUGUUGCAAAAAAUAAUAUUCAUUACAAGGUAAUAUAAUAUCAUUGGUAAGAAAAACAAUGAGGUACUUAGGAAAAAUGAUAUUUAUUGAGCACAGACUAUCUCCCAGGCCUAGAUUUUCUAGGUCCUUCAUGUGCACAAUUUCCUUUAAUCUGACUUAAUCUUGAUGAAACAACUCCAUGGGUUAUCUUAUUUAGCAAAAGCACAGAUCAAAUCCUGAUCAUGGGAACGCCAUGCACAUGUGAUCCUUUUGGGAUGGGUUUUGUUGUAACUGGUCAUGCCCAGGGAGAUUCAGUGCGCUGGGGUGCUGCAGGCAGAGAAGGUGGAGCCACAGGAGAGAGAAGAAUGACACUCCUGCAAGGGGCAGCCGCUUACACAGCCGCUGCUAUCUGAGCUCACACCGUCAGAACGGGUUAUUCCGUUUUCUUUUUCCUCUUCCAUAUUAUCACCACGGUGCCCCACCCUCCUCUGGAAAAUAUCACUGCUUCAAGGAGGCGCUCUGGCCAAGCUCUCGGAUGUCAGCCCUGGCUGUGGGUGAGGCUUCUGUCGCUUGCCAGUCGAGAGCUGCUUGUUCCAGGCACUGCCACAUAGAGAGGGGUGCCUUUUCUCUCCACAUGCAGACGAGAACUCGAGAAAUGUGUUCUUGGGACCCAAAUGAUUCCUCUCAAUGGAUUCACUCACGAGCAAAUAAAUCAGGUAGGCCUCGUGGCCAUGGGCCUCUGGCUGGGGCUUGGGCAUUCUUGCAUUUUGUGUCACAAAUCAUUCACUGUAAUGAUACCCUGAUUGCUGCCUCCUUGGCGAGGCAGUGAUUUUAAGCACCAAAGAGGAGAAACCCAGACCUGCGGGCAAGAACUCCACCCAAGACCUAACCACAAGCUGCCGUCUGUCUGUGUGCAAUUCUGCUGAAACUAUGUCUUGAAUUCUCAAAUUUCUCUAAUGGCUCGUCUGUGUAAAUGAUCUAACUAGUGGAGUUAGCCUUAUAAGUAGGUGUGAAGUGACUCAGGGGAUAUGAUUUGGGUGAGCCAAACAGCCUGACACCUUCUCCCCUACCUGCCACAGUGCCUGAGUUAGACCAUCAGCAGUUCACACCACCGAAUCAAAAGGAAUUUUUCAGUGUACCUGAGUCCCCUAAUGAAAGUAUUCCUGGAUAGAUACUUGAGCAGGUAUAUGGGAGCCCCAAGGUGAGCUCCUGCCUUCUCCAAAUGCAACCCUCUGCUCCCCAAUUCCCAACAUGCUGGCAACUAAUCUCCGUGACCUUCAUUGAGGUUCUGGUUCAGUCCUGGCCAAUUCUGGAACCAAUUCAGAAUGUUAGUGUCCUUCCCAUACCAGCAGAUGGGGUUUGAUAGUUUGCUCUCCCAUUCAUUAAUUCUUUACUUCAUCAGAUACUUGUUGAGCAGAUAUGUGUUCAGGUGCCAGGCAUUUGGCUAGACUCUGGAAAUGCAGGAAUGGACAAAGUCCCUGCCUUCACGGAACAUACAUUAUAGCGCGGGAGGUGGAGAGUAACAAAUUCACCAACAAUGUACCUGGGUCACAUGGUAAUUAUUGUAAAGAAAAUGAGGGGGGCUGGAGAGUGCUAGGGAUGGGGCAAAGAUGUGUGAUAUUCUAUAUGGAAGACAGGGAUAUCCUCUAGGAUAGGGGACAACUGGGCAGAGAGAGCUGUGAGCAGAGAGUGAGCCAGUGAGUGAGCUGACUGGGGACAGAGGAUCUGAGCCUGGAGUCUGCUUGGUGUGUCGAGGAAAGGCAGGAAGACUGGUGGCUGGAUGGAGGCAUGGGGUGAGCAGGAGCCAUUGCUCCUGAUUCCUGUCCUAGUGCCUGGGAUCUUGGAGUAAGUCCUGGUGGGUGAUAUGAGCACUCACGCUGGAGCUCCAGUUGCCUGGAUGAAGCCCUGGAAACUGCCUGUCAGUUCCCCCGGGGCUGUAACCCCGUCUCACCCCGUUGCAUCAGCAAGUACCAUCCCUGCUACAGGCUACUUGCCAGGGCCAUCCCUGGGAUGCCCACAUGGGCUUUGGUUGGCCACCCCACUCCACUACACAAGAUGGGGCAGGCACCUUGCAGGUGGUUCCCCUCGGCCCCAGCCCUGCCCUGUGCCACCUUCUGUGAGCUCCCUGAACCCCUAGCCAUCCUCCCACCCCAUUCUUGAGCUUGGGCUUGUUUGCAGGGAAGGAGUCACCUGGGCAAACACCUUGCACCUGGCAAUUGUGGCCAGGGCCCGGCUUGGGCAAGCCUCUCCCACCCUAGGGCAAUUCACUGAGUGCUUGGUAUGUCAGAUGCUGUGCUUUACGUGUGUCGAGAUUUCAUUUAAUCUUCCCAGUGAGACAGGUACUACUAAAUUUUAUCCCCAUUUUACAGAUGAGGAAAUGGAAGCCCAGAACAGGUAAGUCAUUCGCCCAAGGUCACACAGCUGGUCCAUUGUGAAGUUUUGCUUGAAACUCAAACCUGUCUGUCUUAGUGCAUUUGUGCUGCUAUAAAGGAAUACCUCAAGAAUUUAUGAAGAAAAGUGGUUUAUUUUAUCCUCUGUCCCCAUGCAGCGGUUCUGCAGGCUGCACAGGGAGCAUGGCACUGGCAUCUGCUUCUGGGGAGGGCUUCCGCCUGCUUCCACUCACGGCAGAGGGUGAAGGAGAGCCAGCACGUGCAGAGAUCACAUGAGCCCGGCCUGGAUGGAUGUACGCAGAAAGGGGUUCUGAGCCGAGAAUGGUAGCAGGGAUAGUGCUUCUGCUCCAGGCACGGAGGAGCUGAUCUGUGCAUCCUGCCCUCGUUGUUCGCCCACCAGGAACGAAGAGCCUGGGAACUCUCCCGCCAUCCCCCACCAGUGACAGCACUCCUAUGCCAGCACCCACAGCGGUGCUGCUCCUCUGGCCCGGAGUUCCCCGACUCCAAAGAGAAAAAAGUGUAGACUUGUACUAUCUCCCCUGAUGCAGAAAUGUUCCUUUCCUGGCCCUAAUGCCAGGCCUCUUACAUCAAACACUCAUUGAAUGCCUAGUGGGCACUAAGGGCCGGGGACAUUAAGCUGGUUAUGGCCUGGUCCCUGCCAUCAUGAGGGCCCCAGAACAGGGGACCAAGCGACCUCUCAGGUGGCUGCCCCAUGACCCUGUUUUCCUAGGGAAAGGCCACGCUACUGCCUACACCCCCUGUUCCCUUCGGGUCUGCAUGUUCUCACUGAGCACCUAUCACCUGGGAGGCCCCGUCUCGGGCCUGCUGAGGAUACAAUGAGAAAUGAGACCCUUUCAAUUUUAGGGAGUUAAUUAGCUAGAUUUGGGGGUGGGAGGUUCAUGCAAAAUAAACACCCAAACCCUUCUGCUGGUGGGCAGAAUACAGACCUCUUCUGGCUGAGCCAUGUAUGUGCUCAAAAACAAAACAAAAAAUAAAGACAAUGCCAUUUCAACAA